GACCAACCAGGACCUGACCCAUCAGCACCGACCAACCAGGACCUGGCCCAUUGGCACUGACCUAUCAGGACCUGGCCCAUCAACACUGACCAACCAGGACCCAAUCCACCAGCACUGACCAACCAGGACCCAGCCCACCAGCACCGACCAACCAGAACCUGGCCCACCAGCACUGACCCAACCAGGACCCGACCCACCAGCACUGACCAACCAGGACCCAGCCCACCAGCACCGACCCAACCAGGACCCGAACCACCGGCACCGACCAACCAGGACCCAGCCCACCAGCACUGACCAACCAGGACCCAAUCCACCAGCACUGACCAACCAGGACCCGACCCACCAGCACCGACCAACCAGGACCUGGCCCACUGGCACUGUGAGCACUGUGCUGUGGGUUGGGGCUGCUGGUGCUGGCACAGCGCUGACGGGACCUGGCUGCCCAGAUCACCACCUCCCAGCCCACUGAUUUCCAUCCCACUGAUCCCUGCCCCACUGAUGCCCACCCCAUCUAUUCCUGCCCCACUGAUGCCCACCCCAUUCAUCCCUGCCCCACUGAUGCCCACCCCACUGAUCCGUGUCCCACUGAUGCUGGUUUCACCAGUACCAAUCCUACUGAUUCCCAGUUCACCACUGCCCAUCCCAAUGAUGUCCCAUCAAUACUCAUCCCACUGAUGCCCAGUUCACCAGUUCCCAUCCCAUUGAUGCCCACCCCACUCAUGCCCAGUUCACCAGUUCCCGGCCCACUGACGCCCAGUUCAUCAGUUCCUGGCCCACUGCUGUCCCAACCGCUGACACACAGCCCACUGAUGCCCAUCCCACUGAUGCCCGGCCCACUGACACCAGGCUCACCAGUACCUGGCCCACUGACACCCAGUUCACCAGUUCCCACCCCACUGAUGCCCCCUCCAUGCCUACCCGGCGCACUGAUGCCCAUCCCAUCGAAGCCUGUCCCACUGAGGUCCAUCAGUACCCGGCCCACUGAUGCCCAGUUCACCAGUUUCCAGCCCAUCGAUGCCCAGUUCACCAGCGCCAGCCCAUCGAUGCCGCGUCCAUUGAGGCCCACUCAAUCACUGCCUGGCCCAGUUCUUCCCAGUCCAUCAGUUCCCAGUCCACCAGUGUCAGCCCAUCCAUGCCCAGUUCACCAGUGUCAGCCCACUGAUUUCCAGUUCACCAGUGCCAGCCCACGGAACCCCAUCCACUGAUGCCCAGUCCACUGCUGCCCGGCCCAGUUCUUCCCAGUCCAUCAGUUCCCAGCCCAUUGAUUCCCAGUUCACCAGUGCCAGCCCACGAAACCCCAUCCACUGAUGCCCACUCCUUCACUGUCUGGCCCAGUUCUUCCCAGUCCAUCACUUCCCAGUCCACUGGUGCCCAGUUCACCAGUGCCAGCCCAUGGAACCCCAUCCACUGAUUCCCAGUUCACCAGUGCCAGCCUACGGAAACCCACUCAUUGAUUCCCAGUUCACCAGUGCCAGCCCAUUGAUUCCCAGUUCACCAGUGCCAGCCCACGGACCCCCAUCCAUUGAUGCCCACUCCUCCGCUGCCCGGCCCAGUGCUCCCCAGUCCAUCAAUGCAGUCCAUCAGCGCCCGCCCCACGGACGCCGCCCCACGGACAGACAGACGGACGUCGGUCCGUGGCUGCAGGGCAGGGGGCCGCGCUCCCUCUGCCCGCUCUCCGCUCCGCCGGGUUUCGGGGGGCUGUGGGGGGGGGGAGGUGGGGGUCCUCCUGCGCCUCUCAGCCCCGCGGAGAGCCCG
ensembl:lncRNA